rnacentral:rRNA from 1 species
UACGUAGGGUGCGAGCGUUAAUCGGAAUUACUGGGCGUAAAGCGUGCGCAGGCGGUGAUGUAAGACAGAUGUGAAAUCCCCGGGCUCAACCUGGGAAUUGCAUCUGUGACUGCAUAGCUAGAGUACGGUAGAGGGGGAUGGAAUUCCGCGUGUAGCAGUGAAAUGCGUAGAUAUGCGGAGGAACACCGAUGGCGAAGGCAAUCCCCUGGACCUGUACUGACGCUCAUGCACGAAAGCGUGGGGAGCAAACAGG